ACUGUAAGGUUGAGCAGCGAGCGGCGGCGGCGGCCGGUACGCGGGUUCGCCGCCAGGCAGGCGUAGGUGCCUGCGUGGCCCGGUCCGACCGCGGGCAGCAGGAGGCGCGACCCCGCGGGCACCGCGGCCUCGGCCGGGUCCGCCAGGCUCCACGUGAUGUCGGCGGGCGGCCGCGAGGCGGCGGCGCAGCGCAAGGUCACGUUACUGCCCGCGGUGACAAAGCGGGCAGGCGCGGCGUCGCGGUCCGAGGAGACCGUGAUGGUCGGCGGGUCCGGGCCGUCUGGAGGGAGGAGGGGUCGGGACCGCGAGUGUCAGGGUCACCUGGGACGCCGCUAGGACUCCCGGAGACUGGGUCCCCAGCCCGCUUCUCCCCAAGGACCCCCUGUCCCCGACCCGAGGCAUCCCCCACUCACAGAAGACGCUGACGUCGGCGGCAGCCUCCCUGUGGCCGAAGGGGCUGCGGACGCGGCAAGUGUACCGGGCGUGGUCGCUGCGCACAGGGCGCACGAUGAGCAGCUGGUCGCCCUCUGAGCGCAUCCGGGGCGUCUCGGCUCCCUCCGAUUCCGCCGCCUCCAGGGCGCGUCCGUCCCGGCUCCAGCUCAGCUCCCCGCGACCUGGCCCCCACCCCAGGCAGCGCAGCCGGAGCUCGGCCGCCCCCUCCUCUGUCUCUGGAGCCUUGGGCUGAACCGACAGCUGGGGGACCCCACAGCACCGUGACUUGCCCAAAGCCUGGCAGAGCAGAGCAGCCCCUGCCGCCUGCACGCCGGACGCCAGGGCCCACUUACCAUACACACCCACCGUGAACUCGAACUGAUCUGGAACUUUCCAGCUGGGAGGUUUGAUGGAGGGAACUUCCACACCCAGCCCCUGGGAAGAGCUCUUUGAGUCUGAAGAGAAGGCAGAGGAGAAGUUGGUUUGCUGAAGUCCAGAAGAGGCUCUGAGGGAGAGAUGGGGUUUUGCCAUGUUGGCCAGGCUUAUCAUGAACUCCUGACCUCAAGUGAUCUGCCCGCCUCAGCCUCCCAGUGUUGGGAUUACAGGCGUGAGCCACCGUGCCCGGACUAAUAUUGGACACUCCCUCAUGGAAUCCAGCCGCCACACUGCGAGGAUCAGCA
rnacentral:lncRNA from 10 species